GACGAACGCUGGCGGCGUGCUUAACACAUGCAAGUCGAACGAUAAAGCAAAGAAUCGCUGCUUCGGCAGAAAUUCAUUUCGGAUUAGUGGCAGACGGGUGAGUAACGCGUGAGCACCCUACCUCUUACAAAGGGAUAGCCUCGGGAAACCGGGAUUAAUCCCAUAUAACAUUGCGACGAAGCAUUUCGAUGCAAUCAAAGCUACGGCGGUAAGAGAUGGGCUCGAGUUGCAUUAACCGGAUGGUGAGGUAACGGCUCACCAUAGCGACGAUGGGUAACCGGGCUGAGAGGGUGAACGGUCACACUGGAGCUGAGACACGGUCCGGACUCCUACGGGAGGCAGCAGUGGGGAAUAUUGCACAAUGGAGUGAGUGCUGAUGCAGCGACGCCGCGUGAGUGAUGAAGUAAUUAGUGACGAAAAACUCUGUUAUAUGGGAAGAAAAGGACUGUACCAAAGGAGAAAGCACCGGCUAACUACGUG
rnacentral:rRNA from 1 species